UACGAAGGGGGCUAGCGUUGCUCGGAAUCACUGGGCGUAAAGCGCACGUAGGCGGAUUGUUAAGUCAGGGGUGAAAUCCUGGAGCUCAACUCCAGAACUGCCUUUGAUACUGGCAGAUCUGAGUCCGGGAGAGGUGAGUGGAACUGCGAGUGUAGAGGUGAAAUUCGUAGAUAUUCGCAAGAACACCAGUGGCGAAGGCGGCUCACUGGCCCGGUACUGACGCUGAGGUGCGAAAGCGUGGGGAGCAACAGG
rnacentral:rRNA from 1 species